rnacentral:rRNA from 1 species
AACGAACGCUGGCGGCAUGCCUAACACAUGCAAGUCAAACGAGACCGGCGGGUGUAGUGUCGCACGGGUGCGGGACGUGGGGGAACCUGCCCUUAUGGUCGGAAUAACUCCCCGACGGGGGUUCUAAUACCGGAUAACGUCUUCGGACCAAAGAUUUAUCGCCUUUGGAUGGGCCCGCGUUGGAUUAGCUAGUUGGUAGGGUAAAAGCCUACCAAGGCGACGAUCCAUAGCUGGUCUGAGAGGAUGAUCAGCCACACUGGGACUGAGACACGGCCCAGACUCCUACGGGAGGCAGCAGUGGGGAAUAUUGGACAAUGGGCGAAAGCCUGAGCCAGCAAUGCCGCGUGAGUGAUGAAGGCCUUAGGGUUGUAAAGCUCUUUUAACCGGGAUGAUAAUGACAGUACCGGGAGAAUAAGCUCCGGCUAACUCCGUG